CCGGAAGUGCCCUUCCCAUAGGUGGAGGCGGCGGCGGAGCUGCGGGAGCUGGCGGGGGAGGGGCUGGCGGCCAUGGCGGGCGGGGCCGGAGGGGGCGUGGCCUUCGCCGCCGCCCUGCCCCCCAUGCUGGCCUGCCUGCGCGGCGACCUCCCGCAGCGCUCCUGGGCGGCCGCCAUGCUGGGCGAGGUGGGCGGGGCCCUGCCGGGGGGCGUGGCCCCGGCCCUGCUGCCCCGCCUCGGCCCCGCCCUGGCGGCCGCCGCCCUCCGCGACCCCCACCCCGAGGUGCGCGGCAACGCCCUCUGCAGCCUGGGCCGCCUGGCCGCCAACGGGGCGGGGCAAAGCCCGUAUCCAUGGCAACGGGGGCGGGGCCGGGACGGGCGCCAUGGCAACGGGGUGGGAAAGGGGCGGGGCUUGGCUCGUUGCCAUGGCAACCGGGCGGGAGGGGAGGGGCGGGAGGGUGGGUGCCUAGCAACCAGGUAGGACACGCCCCCUGUAGCCAUAGCAACCAUUGCUAGGGAGGAGGCCACGCCCCCUGGUUGCCUAGCAACCCCCAUAUAGGAGCGAGGCCACGCCCCCUUCUGAAGCCACGCCCCCCUGUUGCCAUAGCAACCCCUGCCAGGGAGGAGGCCACACCCCCCUGUUGCCAUAGCAACCGUUAAUGGCUCUCCUGGCCACACCCCCAGUCCCCUGGCCACGCCCCCUGGUUGCCUAGCAACCCCUUAUAGGAGCAAGGCCACGCCCCCGUUGCCAUAGCAACCACUGCCAGGGAGGAGGCCACGCCCCCUUCUGUAGCCACGCCCCCCUGUUGCCUAGCAACCUCCUCUGGUUUCUAACGGCUCCCUUGGCCACGCCCCCUGCUUCCCUGGCCACGCCCCCUGUUGCCAUAGCAACCCCUUUUAUGAGAGUGAGGCCACGCCCCCUUCUGUAGCCACGCCCCGUUGCCAUAGCAACCCCUGCUGGGGAGGAGGCCACGCCCCCCGUUCCCUAGCAACCCCUUUAGGCCCCUC
rnacentral:lncRNA from 1 species